CUUAUUAUCAUGAGGAGGGACAGAAAAUCAUCAGAAACCUAGAUGGCUUGUUUUUUUCCACAGACCUUUUCAAGGCGCAGGUUGCGUUAUGAACAGCACUGUCUGAGAAACAGCACUAGUGACCACAAAAAUGCAGAAAAGCAGUAAUGACUAACUUAAAUCAAUAUUAAACAAACGAAAUGAGCCCACGUAGAAUGUGCCCCAUGAUCUCUGGCAGCUCAGGCAGGAGUGGGAAGCGCAAUCAGGUACAGGAAAUCUGCUGUGGACUGGCCUCUACACAGCAGAAAAGGCCAAAACCAGAGCUUGACCAUGGAUGAAGAAAGCUGCCUCAAACAGGAGUGCAGCCUGAAGAGCCAGGAGUACUCAGGUUUUCUUUCACAGGCAGGAGGGAUAUCUGUUCUACUCUGAAAAGUCUCCCUGCUAUGAUCCUGAGGAUCCAUCCAGUGCUCUGGAUGUAACAUCAUAUCUGAAAUCAAGCAGUAUGCAAAGACACAGAAUCCAUUGUAUCAAUUAACUCCUGAA
rnacentral:lncRNA from 1 species